rnacentral:rRNA from 1 species
UACGUAGGGGGCAAGCGUUGUCCGGAUUUACUGGGCGUAAAGAGCGUGUAGGCGGCCACGCAGGUCCGUUGUGAAAACUGAAGGCUCAACCUCGAGACGUCGGUUGAAACCGUAUGGCUAGAGUCCGGAAGAGGAGAGUGGAAUUCCCGGUGUGAGCGGUGAAAUGACGUGAGAUAUCGGGAGGAACACCCGUGGCGAAGGCGGCUCUCUGGGACGGUACUGACGCGUGAGACGCGAAAGCGUGGGGAGCGAACGAGG